rnacentral:rRNA from 1 species
GAUGAACGCUGGCGGCGUGCCUAAUACAUGCAAGUCGAGCGAACAGACGAGGAGCUUGCUCCUUUGACGUUAGCGGCGGACGGGUGAGUAACACGUGGGUAACCUACCUAUAAGACUGGGAUAACUUCGGGAAACCGGAGCUAAUACCGGAUAAUAUUUCGAACCGCAUGGUUCGAUAGUGAAAGAUGGCUUUGCUAUCACUUUUAGAUGGACCUGCGCCGUAUUAGCUAGUUGGUAAGGUAACGGCUUACCAAGGCAACGAUACGUAGCCGACCUGAGAGGGUGAUCGGCCACACUGGAACUGAGACACGGUCCAGACUCCUACGGGAGGCAGCAGUAGGGAAUCUUCCGCAAUGGGCGAAAGCCUGACGGAGCAACGCCGCGUGAGUGAUGAAGGUCUUCGGAUCGUAAAACUCUGUUAUUAGGGAAGAACAAACGUGUAAGUAACUGUGCACGUCUUGACGGUACCUAAUCAGAAAGCCACGGCUAACUACGUG